UCCCCUAGUAACGGCGAGUGAAGCGGGAAGAGCUCAAAUUUGAAAUCUAGUAGCCUUCGGCUGCUCGAGUUGUAAUCUAGAGAAGUGUUUUCCGUGCCGGCCCAUGUACAAGUCCCUUGGAACAGGGCGUCAUAGAGGGUGAGAAUCCCGUCCUUGACAUGGACCCCCGGUGCUCUGUGAUACACUUUCAACGAGUCGAGUUGUUUGGGAAUGCAGCUCAAAAUGGGUGGUGAAUUCCAUCUAAAGCUAAAUAUUGGCGAGAGACCGAUAGCGAACAAGUACCGUGAGGGAAAGAUGAAAAGCACUUUGGAAAGAGAGUUAAACAGUACGUGAAAUUGUUGAAAGGGAAACGAUUGAAGUCAGUCAUGCUCUUUGGUAUUUAUAUCAUUGAGUGGGGUCAACAUCAGUUUUGAGCGAUGGAUAAAGGCACUAGGAAGGUAGCACUCUCGGGUGAACUUAUAGCCUAGCGUCAUAUACAUUGUUUGGGACUGAGGAACGCAGCAUGCCUUUAUGGCCGGGAUUCGUCCACGUACAUGCUUAGGAUGUUGACAUAAUGGCUUUAAACGAC
rnacentral:rRNA from 1 species